UUAAAUAUUCUAAUAAGAUUAUUAUAUUCUUAACUAUACGUUCUAUAAAGAAAAAAAGUAAGGGUUUUAUUCAUGCUCCGUAAGCAAGCAACGUUAUUAUUUUAUACAUGCAAGGGUAAUAUAACCCACACGGGUGAGUAAAUGUGAAUAUAUAGUAAAAUUUAAAGAAUAAGAA
rnacentral:rRNA from 1 species